rnacentral:ncRNA from 1 species
AUAGUGAUGUCAAGGAUGAAGGAAGUGGUGUAGCGAUUCUUUCGAGCGUACGAACAGAAACCGGAUAUAAGGCUAAAUGGUGGAUAAGGUUGCCAGACAAACCGAAGUCCAAAAGGUAAACGUAAAACCAAGACAGUAAAUCAGGAGGUUGUGAAGAGAAAGAUAU